GCCCGGAUGGCGGAACUGGUAGACGCGCCGGACUCAAAAUCCGGUUCUGGCAACAGAGUGUGGGUUCGAUUCCCUCUCCGGGCACCA
rnacentral:tRNA from 1 species